rnacentral:rRNA from 1 species
AUUGAACGCUGGCGGCAGGCCUAACACAUGCAAGUCGAGCGCGCGGCGGACGGGGGUGUGAUGUCUGGGAAACUGCCUGUUGUAGGGGGAUAACUACUGUAAACGGUGGCUAAUACCGCAUACCAUCAGAUGUGCCCAGAUGGGAUUGGCUGGUAGGUGGGGUAACGGCUCACCUAGGCGACGCGCCCUAGCUGGUCUGAGAGGAUGACCAGCCACACUGGAACUGAGACACGGUCCAGACUCCUACGGGAGGCAGCAGUGGGGAAUAUUGCACAAUGGGCGCAAGCCUGAUGCAGCCAUGCCGCGUGUGUGAAGAAGGCCUUCGGGUUGUAAAGUACUUUCAGCGGGGAGGCGUUACCCGCAGAAGAAGCACCGGCUAACUCCGUGCCAGCAGCCGCGGUAAUAC